rnacentral:tRNA from 1 species
CCGGAUAAGUGGGCCUCGAUCCCACUAUUUGACAGUUAACAGCUGACCGUCCAACCCAGAGGACAUUAAUCCG